rnacentral:sRNA from 1 species
GGAGCGGCCUAGGGGAGGCCAGGGGCCCACCUGGGCUGGGGCUGUGGAGAGGGAGUGGCUGGGACGGGAGGAAAAAGAGAGCUGGAGAUUAGAUGGAAGGAGAGGGAUUUCGAGACAAAUUGCCAGAGAUGCAGUCAGAGAGACUGACUGAGAGACACAAAGAUAGAAGGAAUUAAAGAAAGGGCCACACAGAGCCAGACAGAGAGAGAAGAGCGGAGAUGGAGACAGGGACGAGGGCAGAGAAAGGCAGACAGACACGUAGGGACAGAAAGAGAAAAAUCACACAAAAUCAGAAUUACUGAAUGACAGGGAAUGACACAUAGAGCGAGACACAGAUUCAGAGACUCAGGGCAGGGAAAGGAAGGCUGCAGACAGACAGACAGAGGGAGGCCAAGACGCAGGGAGAAGAGGGGCUUGGAGAGGCGGCACAGGCAGGUAGCCAGUGCCUCAGAGGCCUCGGGGAGGGCCCUCACACACACCCCGCCCCGGGGCAUUAAGGCAGGGCUUGGAGGCCAGUCAUCCUGGGCCCGCCCGGGGCCGCCCGCCUGCCAGCCUGCCUGCCUGGUGCCUGGCACCUGGCGCUCCAACCCAGCCUACCUGCUGUAGCUGCCGCCACUGCCGCCUCCGCCGCCACUGGGCCCCCAGAGCCCCAGCCCCAGAGCCCAGGAACCUGGGGCCCGCUCCUCCCCCCUCCAGGCCAUGAGGAUUCUGCAGUUAAUCAUGCUUGCUCUGGCGACAGGGCUCGUAGGGGGAGAGACCAGGAUCAUCAAGGGGUCCGAGUGCAAGCCUCAUUCCCAGCCCUGGCAGGCAGCCCUGUUCGAGAAGACGCGGCUGCUCUGUGGGGCAACCCUCAUCUCCCCCAGAUGGCUCCUGACAGCAGCCCACUGCCGCAAGCCGUGGCCACUACAUAGUUCACCUGGGGGAACACAACCUCCAGAAGGAGGAGGGCUGUGAGCAGACCCGGACAGCCACUGAGUCCUUCCCCCAC